rnacentral:rRNA from 1 species
UACGGGAGGCAUCAGUGGGGAAUAUUGCACAAUGGGCGCAAGCCUGAUGCAGCCAUGCCGCGUGUAUGAAGAAGGCCUUCGGGUUGUAAAGUACUUUCAGUCGUGAGGAAGGUGUUAAGGUUAAUAACCUUAGCAAUUGACGUUAGCGACAGAAGAAGCACCGGCUAACUCCGUGCCAGCAGCCGCGGUAAUACGGAGGGUGCGAGCGUUAAUCGGAAUUACUGGGCGUAAAGGGCACGCAGGCGGUUAAUUAAGUUGGAUGUGAAAUCCCCGGGCUUAACCUGGGAAUGGCAUUCAAGACUGGUUAGCUAGAGUCUUGUAGAGGGGGUAGAAUUCCAUGUGUAGCGGUGAAAUGCGUAGAGAUGUGGAGGAAUACCGGUGGCGAAGGCGGCCCCUGGACAAAGACUGACGCUCAUGUGCGAAAGCGUGGGGAGCAAACAGGGAUUAGAUACC